AAUGCAUUCAGAAUUGUGCCUGUCCUUCUUACCUUGCUUUCUGUCACCCACAUUUUCCUUUCUGUCCUAAGUGCUUGUCACACAUUGUGUCAUGUAUUUGGGGUGGAAGAGGGAAGGUAUCAGCAAUAAUAACAUUGAUGUCUGGAUCUGCUUGGGAUCCAUUUACAUUGGCGCAUGGGUUUCAGUCCCAUCACGUUGUCUUGUCAUCCAGGAAUUAGGUCAUUUUUGUUCAGGACCACACAUGGGUCAAGAAUGUGUAGGGAAAAAAUCAAUGAUCUUGCUGCAGAAACCACAGAAAUUUAUUUCUGGGAAGUGGGUAGGGGUCCCAGUAGUACUGGAUCCCUGCAUCAGUUCUGCUAGUGAGAUUGUUCACAGCAGGCCAAUCCCUAAGGAAGCUGAGUUAUUUCCUGUCCCCCGAUUUUUUAAGUGCAACUCCUCUGAGUCUUGACCAAAGCCCGCAGCUUCACUAGGGCUCAUCUUUGCUGGCUGCCUCUGAACUACACAUGUUUCCUUCUAAGUCCGUGCGAAUAAAGUUGUUCAGCUAUUUUGCAGUUCAGUUGUCUGUCCCCAAGUUCAUUGAUGAGUCCUAGGGAGAUUGGUUCCCACUGCCAGGCUGGCUUUGUCCUGGGCUUCCUUCUUCUCCAUCUUGGUCACAUGUGUCUUCAUGGGGUCAUUAGAAAUGUGGUGCAUUUGCUAACAUGUUUCCUCCUUUGUACAGUAUUUCCUUUUGUUCUCACGAGGAGAUCAGGGCCUUUAGAGUCCCUCAUUCACAUUGAAAAGGAAAUACUUCCUUCUCUUCCCUGGAGACUCAGCUUCUGUUAGUCCUUCCCACACCUGGGGUGGAGCCUGCUCUGUCUCACUGGCAUCUUGUUUUUAUCAUUUCUAAGCUCUUUUGGGGAGCACGUACAGCACCCUGGCCACCUUUCUAUUUUCAAUCCCUUACAACAGAACCACUACAUUCCAGCCACUCCAGAAAGCAUUUGUUGAAGGACUGCCUGAGAUGCCGGAAGGCAAUGCAUGUGCCUUUCUCGGUCUAGAGGUUUUGUGUCAGUUUCUAGGAGUCUUUCAGUUUUGCAUGUGACUCUUGAAUACAUCCAGUGCCAAGUUGAAACCCUUUAAAGCAACACCAUGAACAAAAUAGUCUGAGGGCAACACAGCAAACCAGCCUUUCUAAGCAUUUCCCAUUGCUGCCUUCACUGUCAAUGAACUGAGUCUUGUUCAAGUAGACUGGCUCCAUGAAGUUGAUAGUUUUCCAUCUGAAAUCUGUUUCCUGGAGAUAAACCCAGACUGUGUGACAGUUCAUAUCAGGUUCUACUUCAGGAGAUGUUGCUGCUCUAAGAUUGGCCUUUUCCUCCACCAGGAUAUGUGAAGGUGGACGCAGGGGUUGUACUCCUGACGCUAGCGAUGUCUGGGAGUGAGCUGCAAUGUUGGGGAAGCCAUAUCCUGGAAGGUCGUCUUUCAGGGUGAUUGUCUGUGUCAGGGUACAACUUCUGGACUGAGAAUCAGGGCUCCCCAUGGAGGUGUGAGACUAGUGAUGAUCCCUUGCUUCAUCCUAAUGGGUAUGGGUGGUCACCCAAGGUUUUUGACACUGAACUGAAAUGAGCCUUCACCAUUUCAAACAAAAGACCAGCUCUGGGAAGGCACAAAGUGCAAUGUUAUUUGAUGACUUUAUGAUGAAGGAGAGGACACAGGUCUCAGAGCAGAGACAUGGCAGCAGACAGAGGUUGAAUUUUCUUUAACUUAAAUGGGGUGUUCAGUUCAUUUCUCUGACUGUGUUGUCAGUCUGUGCAUUUAUGGGCGAGGUGGGAGAAGGGAUAUUUGCAUCUAGGCCUUCAAGAGUGCUGGGAGGUAAAAAGGCAGAAUUUGUGGACCUUGGCUCCUGGACUGUGUAUAUGUCUUUCCCAUCUUAGGAAGCUGAAAAUGACACAGUGUGAACUGGCAGCAAAGAAGAAUCAGCUGGCAGCUGCAGGGAAAAUGUGAAAAUAGCUAUGAAAGAAAUAAACAAGUACAAGCAACAAAAUGGACAAAGACAAGAACAGCUGCAGCAGACAGAACUCACCUUCAGACACCAGGGACCCUGAGCUCUGCCUGACAUAUUGAACCCUUAGUACCUCAUGUGGGUGAGUGUAGUGGUCCUUGGAAUUCCUAAACACGGACUUUUCAUUGUUGCUUUUUCAGAUCGCAGUUCAUAAGAAUAAUGCUCAGGACAACUGGGUAAGUGUUUCCUUUUUUCCUCCUCUCCCUCUUUGGUGCACAGUCUGGCAUGACUGAAGGUGGAUGUGUUUUUCUCCCCCAGAUCAAGCCUCGGAUCUGGGAAAGGGAAAUGGCAGAGCAGAGCCGGGAGGUCACCCGCUUGAAACACAGGUGUGGGAGCGUGACAUGAGUUUUUAUGGGUGUUUUGAGGGAUGACAGCUGUGCUGUUUAGUGUCUAGUCAGAGGACGUGGCAUUGCAACUCUUACGGAAGUCCAUUCUUUUUCUGUAUCCAAGACAGGAUGGGAUGGAAGGAAAGAGGCUGCUUGAGGGAUACAGGAGGCGGAGACCAAUGCCUGGAAGUCCAGAGACGCAGAACCCUCCGAGGAGAG